rnacentral:rRNA from 1 species
GUAGGGAAUCUUCGGCAAUGGGGGCAACCCUGACCGAGCGACGCCGCGUGAGGGAUGACGGCCUUCGGGUUGUAAACCUCUUUCAGCAGGGAAGAAGCGAAAGUGACGGUACCUGCAGAAGAAGCGCCGGCUAACUACGUGCCAGCAGCCGCGGUAAUACGUAGGGCGCGAGCGUUGUCCGGAAUUAUUGGGCGUAAAGAGCUUGUAGGCGGUUUGUCGCGUCUGCUGUGAAAGCCCGGGGCUUAACCCCGGGUUUGCAGUGGGUACGGGCAGACUAGAGUGCAGUAGGGGAGACUGGAAUUCCUGGUGUAGCGGUGAAAUGCGCAGAUAUCAGGAGGAACACCAAUGGCGAAGGCAGGUCUCUGGGCUGUAACUGACGCUGAGAAGCGAAAGCAUGGGGAGCAAACAGGAUUAGAAACCCUUGUAGUCC